rnacentral:rRNA from 1 species
GACGAACCGUGCGAACGUUGUUCGGAUUCACUGGGCUUAAAGGGCGCGUAGGCGGCUUGCCAAGUCAGGGGUGAAAUCUUUCGGCUCAACCGGAAAAGUGCUUCUGAUACUGGCGGGCUGGAGGGGGGUAGGGGCAGAUGGAACUUCCGGUGGAGCGGUGAAAUGCGUAGAUAUCGGAAGGAACGCCGGUGGCGAAAGCGAUCUGCUGGACCCCUUCUGACGCUGAGGCGCGAAAGCCAGGGGAGCGAACGGG